rnacentral:rRNA from 1 species
UUAAACUUUCCUUCGGGAAAGAUAUAAAGUGGCGCACGGGUGAGUAACACGUAAGGUAAUCUACCUUCGAGUGGGGAAUAACCCGGGGAAACCCGAGCUAAUACCGCAUAACGCAGCGGCACCUAAUGGUGACAGUUGUUAAAGGAGUAAUUCGCUUGAAGAGGAGCUUGCGGCAGAUUAGCUAGUUGGUAAGGUAAUGGCUUACCAAGGCUUCGAUCUGUAUCCGGUCUAAGAGGACGGUCGGACACACUGACACUGAAUAACGGGUCAGACUCCUACGGGAGGCAGCAGUCGGGAAUUUUGGGCAAUGGGCGAAAGCCUGACCCAGCAACGCCGCGUGAAGGAUGAAGUAUUUCGGUAUGUAAACUUCGAAAGAAUUGGAAGAACUCAAUGACGGUACCAUUUAUAAGCUCCGGCUAACUACGUGCCAGCAGCCGCGGUAAUACGUAGGGAGCAAGCGUUGUUCGGAUUUACUGGGCGUAAAGGGCGCGUAGGCGGCAUAUUAAGUCAUCUGUGAAAUCUCCGAGCUUAACUCGGAACUGUCAGGUGAUACUGAUGUGCUAGAGUGCGGAAGGGGCAAUCGGAAUUCUUGGUGUAGCGGUGAAAUGCGUAGAUAUCAAGAGGAACACCUGAGGUGAAGACGGGUUGCUGGGCCGACACUGACGCUGACAGCGCGAAAGCCAGGGGAGCAAACGGGAUUAGAUACCCCGGUAGUCCUGGCCUUAAACGAUGAAUACUUGGUGUCUGGAGUCUCUAUAGCUUCGGGUGCCGUC